ACUUUCACGUUUGAGAAGGAAUAGUAGAAGUACGGUGGGACUUUUAGAGAGUGCAUGGUUGGUGGAAAUGCACAGCACACCUUUCGAACUCGUCUUCGAGUGAUAUCUGACUGAACCUGAUUUGGCUAGGCAGAUACGGCGAUGGCCGUUAAAACAUCGAGGUCUGCUUUUUUGAGGAGCAGAUAAACUUAGGUGGUACCACGUUGAUAACGUCCUAUAA
rfam:Enterococcus casseliflavus EC20, complete genome.